CCUGUCUGUAUAAAUAGGGGCUCAAUUUCUUUAAGGCCCAGACCAGGGCCAAACACUCCUUUUCCACUGCUGCAUAACUCACUUCCCGAAGUAGUAACUUUCUGCUUAGGUAUGCGACAGGGUGCUCUCCUCCAUCUUCCCCAACCUGGCUCAGCACAGCCCCCAGUCCAUACAUGGAAGCAUCUGUAUGAACGAGAAAACGUUUGUUAGGGACUGGGCAGCCAGGACAGGGGCAUUCACAAGAGCCUGCUUCAGUGCCUGAAAUGCGGCUUCACAAGCUGGAGACCACAGGACCUGCUUCGGUAGAUUCUUUUUCGUCAGGUCAGUCAGGGGUUUGGCAAUAGUACUUUAAUCUGGGACAAAACGUCGG